ACGCUUGAAGUCAGUCGCGUCGGUCGGAAAUCAACCUUGCUUCUGCUGGGUGUACUUUCCGUCCGACGGGUCAGCAUCAGUUUCGGUCGCUGGAUAAAGUUCUUGGGAACGUGGCAUCCUCGGAUGUGUUAUAGCCCUUUGACACACGCAGCGGCUGGGAUUGAGGAAUUCAGCACGCCCGCAAGGGCUGGGGACUCGUCCCACAACCAUAGGUGCUUAGGAUGCUGGCGUAAUGGCUUUAAUCGACCCGUCUUGAAACACGGACCAAGGAGUC
rnacentral:rRNA from 1 species